AUUGAACGCUGGCGGCAGGCCUAACACAUGCAAGUCGAACGAGUGGCGGACGGGUGAGUAAUGUCUGGGAAACUGCCUGAUGGAGGGGGAUCACUACUGGAAACGGUAGCUAAUACCGCAUACCAUCGGAUGUGCCCAGAUUGGAUGAGCUAGGAGGUGGGGUAAAGGCUCACCUAGGCGACGAUCCCUAGCUGGUCUGAGAGGAUGACCAGCCAAACUGGAACUGAGACACGGUCCAGACUCCUACGGGAGGCAGGAGUGGGGAAUAUUGCACAAUGGGCGCAAGCCUGAUGCAGCCAAGCCGCGUGUGGGAAGAAGGUCUUCGGAUGGUAAAGCACUUUAAGUUGGGAGGCGUUACCCGCAGAAGAAGCACCGGCUAACUACGUGCCAGCAGCCGCGGUAAUAC
rnacentral:rRNA from 1 species